rnacentral:rRNA from 1 species
AACGAACGCUGGCGGCAUGCCUAACACAUGCAAGUCGAACGAGACCUUCGGGUCUAGUGGCGCACGGCUGCGUAACGCGUGGUAACCUGCCCUUAGGUUCGGAAUAACUCCCGAAAGGGGUGCUAAUACCGGCUAAUGUCUUCGCACCAAAGAUUUAUCGCCUUUGGAUGGGCGCGCGUUGGAUUAGCUAGUUGGUAGGGUAAAAGCCUACCAAGGCGACGAUCCAUGGCUGGUCUGAGUGGAUGAUCAUCCACACUGGGACUGAGACACGGCCCAGACUCCGACGCGAGGCAGCAGUGGGGAAUAUUGGGCACUGGGCGAUAGCCUGAUCAAGCAAUGCCGCGUGAGUGAUGAAGGCCGUAGGGUUGUAAAGCUCUUUUACCCGGGAUGAUAAUGACAGUAACGGGAGAAUAAGCACCGGCUAACUCCGUG